UGUAGCUGGUCUGAGAGGAUGAUCAGCCACACCGGGACUGAGACACGGCCCGGACUCCUACGGGAGGCAGCAGUGGGGAAUAUUGGACAAUGGGGGCAACCCUGAACCAGCCAUGCCGCGUGUGUGAAGAAGGCCUUUUGGUUGUAAAGCACUUUAAGCAGUGAAGAAGACCUAACGGUUAAUACCCGUUAGCGAUGACAUUAGCUGCAGAAUAAGCACCGGCUAACUCUGUGCCAGCAGCCGCGGUAAUACAGAGGGUGCAAGCGUUAAUCGGAAUUACUGGGCGUAAAGCGAGCGUAGGUGGCUUGAUAAGUCAGAUGUGAAAUCCCCGGGCUUAACCUGGGAACUGCAUCUGAUACUGUUGGGCUAGAGUAGGUGAGAGGGAGGUAGAAUUUCAGUGUAGCGGUGAAAUGCGUAGAGAUCUGAAGGAAUACCGAUGGCGAAAGCAGCCUCCUGGCAUCAUACUGACACUGAGGUUCGAAAGCGUGGGUAGCAAACAGGAUUAGAUACCCUGGUAGUCCACGCCGUAAACGAUGUCUACUAGUCGUUGGGGAACUUGAUUCCUUAGUGACGCAGCUAACGCAAUAAGUAGACCGCCUGGGGAGUACGGCCGCAAGGUUAAAACUCAAAUGAAUUGACGGGGGCCCGCACAAGCGGUGGAGCAUGUGGUUUAAUUCGAUGCAACGCGAAGAACCUUACCUGGUCUUGACAUAUCUAGAAUCCUGCAGAGAUGCGGGAGUGCCUUCGGGAAUUAGAAUACAGGUGCUGCAUGGCUGUCGUCAGCUCGUGUCGUGAGAUGUUGGGUUAAGUCCCGCAACGAGCGCAACCCUUUUCCUUAGUUACCAGCGGUUUGGCCGGGGACUCUAAGGAUACUGCCAGUGACAAACUGGAGGAAGGCGGGGACGACGUCAAGUCAUCAUGGCCCUUACGACCAGGGCUACACACGUGCUACAAUGGUAGGUACAGAGGGCAGCUACACAGCGAUGUGAUGCGAAUCUCAAAAAGCCUAUCGUAGUCCAGAUUGGAGUCUGCAACUCGACUCCAUGAAGUAGGAAUCGCUAGUAAUCGCGGAUCAGAAUGCCGCGGUGAAUACGUUCCCGGGCCUUGUACACACCGCCCGUCACACCAUGGGAGUUGAUUGCACCAGAAGUGGGUAGCCUAACUUUUAGAGGGCGCUCACCACGGUGUGGUUGAUGACUGG
rnacentral:rRNA from 1 species